rnacentral:rRNA from 1 species
UACGUAGGGUGCAAGCGUUGUCCGGAAUUACUGGGCGUAAAGGGCGCGUAGGCGGCCUGUUAAGUCGAACGUGAAAUCCCCGGGCUCAACCCGGGAACUGCGUCCGAUACUGGCAGGCUUGAAUCCGGGAGAGGGAUGCGGAAUUCCAGGUGUAGCGGUGAAAUGCGUAGAUAUCUGGAGGAACACCGGUGGCGAAGGCGGCAUCCUGGACCGGCAUUGACGCUGAGGCGCGAAAGCCAGGGGAGCAAACGGG